rnacentral:rRNA from 1 species
AAACUUCUUUAUCACCGAGUGCUUGCACUCACCGAUAAAGAGUUGAGUGGCGAACGGGUGAGUAACACGUGGGCAACCUGCCCAAAAGAGGGGGAUAACACUUGGAAACAGGUGCUAAUACCGCAUAACCAUAGUUACCGCAUGGUAACUAUGUAAAAGGUGGCUAUGCUACCGCUUUUGGAUGGGCCCGCGGCGCAUUAGCUAGUUGGCGGGGUAAAGGCUUACCAAGGCAAUGAUGCGUAGCCGAACUGAGAGGUUAAUCGGCCACAUUGGGACUGAGACACGGCCCAAACUCCUACGGGAGGCAGCAGUAGGGAAUCUUCCACAAUGGGCGAAAGCCUGAUGGAGCAACGCCGCGUGGGUGAAGAAGGUCUUCGGAUCGUAAAACCCUGUUGUUAGAGAAGAAAGUGCGUGAGAGUAACUGUUCACGUUUCGACGGUAUCUAACCAGAAAGCCACGGCUAACUACGUGCCAGCAGCCGCGGUAAUACGUAGGUGGCAAGCGUUAUCCGGAUUUAUUGGGCGUAAAGGGAACGCAGGCGGUCUUUUAAGUCUGAUGUGAAAGCCUUCGGCUUAACCGGAGUAGUGCAUUGGAAACUGGGAGACUUGAGUGCAGAAGAGGAGAGUGGAACUCCAUGUGUAGCGGUGAAAUGCGUAGAUAUAUGGAAGAACACCAGUGGCGAAAGCGGCUCUCUG